UACGUAGGGUGCAAGCGUUAAUCGGAAUUACUGGGCGUAAAGCGUGCGCAGGCGGUUGGCAAAGUCAGCUGUGAAAGCCCCGGGCUUAACCUGGGAAUGGCGGUUGAAACUAGUCGACUAGAAUCUGGCAGAGGGGGGUGGGAAUUCCACGGUGUAGCAGUGGAAAUGCGUAGAGAUGUGGAGGAACACCGAUGGCGGAAGGGACAGCCCCCUGGGCUGA
rnacentral:rRNA from 1 species